rnacentral:misc_RNA from 1 species
GGAAUCUUCGGCAAUGGACGGAAGUCUGACCGAGCAACGCCGCGUGAGUGAAGAAGGUUUUCGGAUCGUAAAGCUCUGUUGUAAGAGAAGAACGAGUGUGAGAGUGGAAAGUUCACACUGUGACGGUAUCUUACCAGAAAGGGACGGCUAACUACGUGCCAGCAGCCGCGGUAAUACGUAGGUCCCGAGCGUUGUCCGGAUUUAUUGGGCGUAAAGCGAGCGCAGGCGGUUAGAUAAGUCUGAAGUUAAAGGCUGUGGCUUAACCAUAGUACGCUUUGGAAACUGUUUAACUUGAGUGCAAGAGGGGAGAGUGGAAUUCCAUGUGUAGCGGUGAAAUGCGUAGAUAUAUGGAGGAACACCGGUGGCGAAAGCGGCUCUCUGGCUUGUAACUGACGCUGAGGCUCGAAAGCGUGGGGAGCAAACAGGA